rnacentral:lncRNA from 10 species
CUGGAAGGCAGCUGACCCUUGGUGAGCCUCAGUUUGCUCACUGAGAAAGACACCCUGCCCAACUGUUGCAUAGACUGAAAAUGCAAAGUGCACAAGAGUCUCUGGCCAGGACAGGCAUUGAAGGUCAGCUUGUUCUCCUCCUGGAGCUCAGCUCUGUGAUCAGGAAACCAAUUGUAAAGUCCAGAAUGAGGACACGGGCUCUACAUGGUGUGGAAUGGCAGUGAGACGGGCUAGGACUUCAGAACUCAACUGAUCACACACAGGAGGGAGAAGAACAACCAAGCUGGGCUUCAAGAUGCCUUAUUUGGACACUAGUUUUUGAUGUGUCUCUGAUGGUUAUUAACCAGACAUUUCAAGGGCAAGAAACUAUUUCCCCAAAACUACCUUUUGAGACAUUUCCAGGUAAGUGCCAAAUACAAAGAAAUGAUCCUGGGUUGUGAGUCCUGGGAUGGGGUUCUGGCCCCAGCUUGGCCCUAAAUGGGCCAGAGAGCCCCCCUCCAAAAUGCAUUUCCUCUCUGGAUGCCCUCAGUUUCUUAUCUGUAAAAUGAGGGUGUUCAUCUAAAUCAUCACGAGGUUCAUCCUACUUCUCAGGUUCCAAUUCUAUACUCCCCAGGAAGGAGAGAAAAAAGAGUCAUGAAUGCACUUCCUGCAUUUCCUUAGGACAAAGCCCAGUUCCUCGCAGCUUGGCACUGCCUCUUCCUAACACAGAAACUCCGCUAAGACCUGGCAGGCCUGCUUUCUCCCCGAUGUGUCCUCCCACCUCCCUCUGCAGUAUUAUUAUUACUACUACCAUUUUGUUUUGGCAGAGGCUGCCCUGUCCUCUCUGUCCAGAGACUCAGCCCCGACUCACCUCCUCUAGGAAGUCUCCCACACGGACCUCGCUCUGCUCCCUCCUCCUCACGGCUGACCCUGCUGGGUCGUCCUGCCAGCUCGGACACUUGUUUGUUGUGGCUUUUGUAAAAUACUCUGUAGUCAUUUUCCUGUGGGUGUGUCUUUUCUACUGCCCAGUGCCCCAGCUUCCCAGCUCAGAAGGUUCUGGGUGUGGGGAUCAGGACUGGGAGGGGGACAGGACAGCCAGGGGAGGGGUGAAGCCAUGUAGGUGAUCAAGUAGAGCUGCCACUUUCCUUCCUGUCUCUUUUUCUUUUGGCAAAAGAUAUUCAUUCAUCCAAAAUGAAUGCCUUUGGGUAGGGAGGGCAGUGUUGGAGGCAGUUCUGUCUGACAGGCAAGGCAGUGCCUUCUCGAUGGAGACGGAGCAGAGUGAGCCUGGGGAGGAAGAAUUGUGGAGUGAACCAGGUGUGGUCGUAGUACCUGCCCUGGCAUCUGGAGCGCAGCAGAACACAGCCCAGAUGCAAACAUCAGGAGCAGACACUGCCCAGAUGGCGGCUUUACCCCAGCUGGACUCCUCUGAGGCUUUGGUGGUGGACAGCCCUGUGCCGCAAGCUGGAGUAAGCCGAUUCUCCCCAUGGGGGAAGCAGGCCUGGAAAUGUAGCAGUGUGCCUCAUGGAAAUGUAGCAGUGUGCCUCAUGGAAAUGUAGCAGUGUGCCUCAUGGAAAUGUAGCAGUGUGCCUCAUGGAGCUGACCUUCCCAUGUAACCUAGCAAGCCCUUGAAAAGGAGAGAAAAAAGUAAUGGGGAAAGGUAGCCUCCCUGUGGUAGUUUUAAAAUGUCUGCAAAUUCUUCUCUCCAAGAGGUGGAACUGAAUUUACCUCCCCUUGAGUACGGGCUGUACUUAGUGACUCACUUCUAACAAAGUCGGAAGUGAUGGCGUGUGGCUUCCAAGGGUAGGUCUUAAAAGACACUGCAAGCUCUGACCUGGGCUCCCUCUUCGAUCACUAGCUCUGGGGAAGCCAGCUGCCAUGCUAAAAAAGACACUCAAGCAGCCCCACGGAGAGGUCCACAACGCAAGGAGCUGAGUCCUCCCACCAACAGCCAGUGAGGAGCCGAGGCCUCCCACCUACAACCAGUGAGGAGCUGAGGCCUCCUGCCACAGUCACGGGAGUGAGCCUUGGAAGCAGAUCCUCCAGUGUCCGUCAGGCCUUCAGAAACUGCAGCCCCUGC